rnacentral:rRNA from 1 species
AGAGUUUGAUCCUGGCUCAGAACGAACGCUGGCGGCAUGCCUAACACAUGCAAGUCGAACGAAGGCUUCGGCCUUAGUGGCGCACGGGUGAGUAACGCGUGGGAACCUGCCCUUCAGUGGGGAAUAACGACGGGAAACUGUCGCUAAUACCGCAUACGCCCUUUUGGGGAAAGAUUUAUCGCUGAAGGAUGGGCCCGCGU